GUCUUCCUGGCUCAGUUGGUUAGAGUGUUGGUCUCAUACUUCAGUAUGACUCGUAAAGAAAAAACUUUCGGGGAAUCCAAAGGUCGGCAGUUUGAUCCUGCCAGAGGACA